rnacentral:rRNA from 1 species
UACGGAAGGCAGCAGUGGGGAAUAUUGCACAAUGGGCGCAAGCCUGAUGCAGCCAUGCCGCGUGUAUGAAGAAGGCCUUCGGGUUGUAAAGUACUUUCAGUCGUGAGGAAGGUGUUAAGGUUAAUAACCUUAGCAAUUGACGUUAGCGACAGAAGAAGCACCGGCUAACUCCGUGCCAGCAGCCGCGGUAAUACGGAGGGUGCGAGCGUUAAUCGGAAUUACUGGGCGUAAAGGGCACGCAGGCGGUUAAUUAAGUUGGAUGUGAAAUCCCCGGGCUUAACCUGGGAAUGGCAUUCAAGCUGGUUAGCUAGAGUCUUGUAGAGGGGGUAGAAUUCCAUGUGUAGCGGUGAAAUGCGUAGAGAUGUGGAGGAAUACCGGUGGCGAAGGCGGCCCCUGGACAAAGGACUGACGCUCAUGUGCGAAAGCGUGGGGAGCAAACG